rnacentral:rRNA from 1 species
AACGAACGCUGGCGGCAGGCUUAACACAUGCAAGUCGAGCGGAGAGAGGUAGCUUGCUACUGAUCUUAGCGGCGGACGGGUGAGUAAUGCUUAGGAAUCUGCCUAUUAGUGGGGGACAACAUUUCGAAAGGAAUGCUAAUACCGCAUACGUCCUACGGGAGAAAGCAGGGGACCUUCGGGCCUUGCGCUAUCAGAUGAGCCUAGGUCGGAUUAGCUAGUUGGUGGGGUAAUGGCCCACCAAGGCGACGAUCCGUAACUGGUCUGAGAGGAUGAUCAGUCACACUGGAACUGAGACACGGUCCAGACUCCUACGGGAGGCAGCAGUGGGGAAUAUUGGACAAUGGGCGAAAGCCUGAUCCAGCCAUGCCGCGUGUGUGAAGAAGGUCUUCGGAUUGUAAAGCACUUUAAGUUGGGAGGAAGGGCAUUAACCUAAUACGUUAGUGUUUUGACGUUACCAACAGAAUAAGCACCGGCUAACUUCGUGCCAGCCGCCGCCGUAACAC